CACACACACCUGACCCUGCAGCACACCCCCCCAUCACACCGGGUCUGUACCUGUCUGCUUGUCUCUCCCGUCUGCAGCUGCUUGCCCAGAGUGAGAUACUGCAGCAGGAGUCUGCAGCGACAGCCCUCGCUCUGUCUCCCCCCCUCUCUUUCACACACACCCCCUCCAUUCAGCCUUUGCUGUGAACACGUUCCUCCCUGGGCUGAUCAAUUUCUCCUCGUUUCCAAAGUGAAACGCUGCAGCAAAGCAGGCAGCCGUAGAAGAGAUGCGCUGCCUUUGAGUCCACACGUGUGUUCGCAUUUGACGGCGACUGCAGCUGCUGUGUUUGCAUCCGCCAUCAAACCACGCCACAAAUGAAGGUGCAGCUGCAGCUACACAGCUGGACAGAGGAGUUCUGAGGCUGCAUGAUUCACAGAGGCAACGCUUGCCUCCACACAUCUGGAAGAGCCAUUUAGGAUCAGAGCACCAGAGACAUGAAGCUAACUGAAGACGAGAGCUUCACUGACAGAGAGGUUGAAAAUUACAAGAUAAAAGGAGUUCUUGGGUUUCCGGGAAUUCACCAGGAUCGUAUUCCCGCAUGGAGAACUGUUUAAUGACAAUGCCUAUGAUUGCAAUCUGAGGCUCCACUGAUUCUAGCUGGAAGUGUCAGUGCCGUGCCAGGUCUCGCUGCUGAUUAUCUAAAGGUCUUUCUUUAAUCCCACUCUGAAUAAAACACCAAACAAGAA